rnacentral:ribozyme from 1 species
UGACUGUUUUUUUUUUGCUUUUUUGGUUUUGUUUUUUGUUUUUUUUAAUAUAUAAAUCCAUUUAUUCCUCGAUUAACAUAAACAGAAAACACACGCACUCUUGUCGCGCCACACUCACACACAGAGAAUUGAUACCAAACGACCAUCUUUUCACUUAAUCCACACGCGAUCUGAAAAUUAAACAGGAGGAGGAAUAGCUCCCCAUGGAAUCAGUGAUCUUCUAUUCUUUCCUGUGUCUGGUUCGAAUUCAUUGAUCUCAUAUCUUGUGAUAAGUCCGGCAUUGUAAUAAGGAU